rnacentral:rRNA from 1 species
GACGAACGCUGGCGGCGUGCUUAACACAUGCAAGUCGAACGAAGUGGCGCACGGGUGAGUAACGCGUAAUCAACCUGUCCUUCAGAGGGGGACAACAGUUGGAAACGACUGCUAAUACCGCAUACUGAAGGAGGGGAUUGCGUCUGAUUAGCUAGUUGUAUGGGUAACGGCCCACCAAGGCGAUGAUAAGUAGCCGGUCUGGGAGGAUGAACGUCGACACUGGGACUGAUACACGGCCAAGACGUCUACGGGAGGCAGCAGUGGGGAAUCUUCCGGAAUGGACGAAAGUCUGACGGAGCAAGGCCGCGUGAGUUAUGACGGCCUGCGGGUUGUAAAGCUCUGUUAAUCGGGACGCGGUACCGGAAGAGAAAGCCACGGCUAACUACGUGCCAGCAGCCGCGGUAAUUC